rnacentral:rRNA from 1 species
CGGGUUGCGGACAGUGUCUGGUGGGUAGUUUGACUGGGGCGGUCUCCUCCUAAAGAGUAACGGAGGAGCACGAAGGUUGGCUAAUCCUGGUCGGACAUCAGGAGGUUAGUGCAAUGGCAUAAGCCAGCUUGACUGCGAGCGUGACGGCGCGAGCAGGUGCGAAAGCAGGUCAUAGUGAUCCGGUGGUUCUGAAUGGAAGGGCCAUCGCUCAACGGAUAAAAGGUACUCCGGGGAUAACAGGCUGAUACCGCCCAAGAGUUCAUAUCGACGGCGGUGUUUGGCACCUCGAUGUCGGCUCAUCACAUCCUGGGGCUGAAGUAGGUCCCAAGGGUAUGGCUGUUCGCCAUUUAAAGUGGUACGCGAGCUGGGUUUAGAACGUCGUGAGACAGUUCGGUCCCUAUCUGCCGUGGGCGCUGGAGAACUGAGGGGGGCUGCUCCUAGUACGAGAGGACCGGAGUGGACGCAUCACUGGUGUUCGGGUUGUCAUGCCAAUGGCACUGCCCGGUAGCUAAAUGCGGAAGAGAUAAGUGCUGAAAGCAUCUAAGCACGAAACUUGCCCCGAGAUGAGUUCUCCCUGACCCUUUAAGGGUCCUGAAGGAACGUUGAAGACGACGACGUUGAUAGGCCGGGUGUGUAAGCGCAGCGAUGCGUUGAGCUAACCGGUACUAAUGAACCGUGAGGCUUAACCUU